GAUGAACGCUGGCGGCGUGCCUAAUACAUGCAAGUCGAGCGAACAGACGAGGAGCUUGCUCCUCUGACGUUAGCGGCGGACGGGUGAGUAACACGUGGAUAACCUACCUAUAAGACUGGGAUAACUUCGGGAAACCGGAGCUAAUACCGGAUAAUAUAUUGAACCGCAUGGUUCAAUAGUGAAAGACGGUUUUGCUGUCACUAUAGAUGGAUCCGCGCCGCAUUAGCUAGUUGGUAAGGUAACGGCUUACCAAGGCAACGAUGCGUAGCCGACCUGAGAGGGUGAUCGGCCACACUGGAACUGAGACACGGUCCAGACUCCUACGGGAGGCAGCAGUAGGGAAUCUUCCGCAAAGGGCGAAAGCUUGACGGAGCAACGCCGCGUGAGUGAUGAAGGUCUUCGGAUCGUAAAACUCUGUUAUUAGGGAAGAACAAAUGUGUAAGUAACUAUGCACGUCUUGACGGUACCUAAUCAGAAAGCCACGGCUAACUACGUG
rnacentral:rRNA from 1 species